CGACUCCUUAGGAGGGGAUAACAAUUGGAACGAUUGCUAAUGCCCCAUAUGCUGUAAAGUGAAAUGAUAUUUCGCCUAAAGAUGAGCUCACGCCUGAUUAGCUUGUUGGUAGGGUAAUUGCCUACCAAGGCUACGAUCAGUAGCUGAUUUGAGAGGAUGAUCAGCCACACUGGAACUGAGACACGGUCCAGACUUCUACGGAAGGCAGCAGUGGGGAAUUUUCCGCAAUGGGCGCAAGCCUGACGGAGCAAUACCGCGUGAGGGAUGAAUGCCUAUGGGUUGUAAACCUCUUUUAUUGGGGAAGAAUUUUGACGGUACCCAAUGAAUAAGCAUCGGCUAACUCCGUGCCAGCAGCCGCGGUAAUACGGGGGAUGCAAGCGUUAUCCGGAAUCAUUGGGCGUAAAGAGUCUGUAGGUUGCAUAAUAAGUCUACUGUUAAAUAUUAGAGCUCAACUUUAAGCAAGCAGUAGAAACUAUUAUGCUAGAGUAUGGUAGAGGUAGAUGGAAUUCCCAGUGUAGCGGUGAAAUGCGUAGAUAUUGGGAAGAACACCAGAGCGAAAGCGAUCUACUGGGCCAUAACUGACACUGAGAGACGAAAGCUAGGGGAGCAAAAGGGAUUAGAUACCCCUGUAGUC
rnacentral:rRNA from 1 species